GGCGCUACAACGUUUAUUGCUGACGACAGACCAGAAGCGGGAAGCCGUGAUAGUGAUGUGCAAAGCGACCAGUCUGUCGCAACGUCAUGCCUGCAAGCUUACAAGUU
rfam:Kluyvera intestini strain GT-16 tig00000000, whole genome shotgun sequence.